rnacentral:rRNA from 1 species
UACGGAGGAUCCAAGCGUUAUCCGGAAUCAUUGGGUUUAAAGGGUCCGUAGGCGGUUUAGUAAGUCAGUGGUGAAAGCCCAUCGCUCAACGGUGGAACGGCCAUUGAUACUGCUAGACUUGAAUUAUUAGGAAGUAACUAGAAUAUGUAGUGUAGCGGUGAAAUGCUUAGAGAUUACAUGGAAUACCAAUUGUGAAGGCAGCUUACUACGCAGAUAUUGACGCUCAUGCACGAAAGCGUGGGGAUCAAACAGG